GUCAUUACGCCUGCGCACUCCCCGCGUCACCCCUCCUCCCCGCCGACACGCGGCGCGCCUGCGCAUUGCUUCCCCAUGUGGGCUCUGGCCGUCAGCGGGCCCGACUGAACAGUUGCACCGAGAUCCCCUCGUAACAGGACCCUGCCAGCAGCUCAGCAGCCUCCACUGUCCUGCUGUUGCCCUCCUCUCUCGGCCUUUCCCCCGCAGCGCACAUCGCCAUGGGCAAGAGCAGGACGAAGCGCUUCAAGCGACCUCAGUUCUCCCCUACGGGCGACUGUCAGGCCGAAGCGGCAGCGGCGAACGGGACUGAGGGAGAGGAGGACGACGGGCCGGCGGCGGAGCUACUAGAAAAGCUCCAGCACCCGAGCGCCGAGGUCCGCGAGUGCGCCUGCGCGGGGCUGGCCCGGCUGGUGCAGCAGCGGCCGGUGCUGCCCGGCCUGGCGCGUCGGGAUGCGGUGCGUCGUCUCGGGCCGUUGCUGCUCGACCCCAGCCUGGCGGUGAGGGAGACGGCGGCCGGCGCGCUGAGAAACCUCAGUGCUUGUGGAGGUUUUGAAGUUUGUGAUGACAUGGUAACUAAGGAUAUCAUGACUCCUCUGGUUGCACUGCUCAAAGAGUGUAGUGCUGGCCUGGAUUCAAAUGAGAUGUCUCCACAGGAAAAAAAAGAUCAGAACAGAAAUUCUGUUGAGAACAUAGCCAAUGAGGCCAUGAAUGUGCUGUGGAAUAUAUGUGAAUGCAGUAAUAGAGCAGUAACUAUAUUCAACAAAGAAGGGUGUUUGGAGAUUGUAUUAAAGUAUUUAAGUAGGUUUCCCACCAAUGUUGACCUGGCUAUUUCAGUAGCAUAUUGUUUGCAGACAGUGACCGAAGAUAACCCAGAGCUGCUGAAAUCUUUCAGUGCCCCAGCACUGCAUGUACUGGAAUCAGCAAUGCUUUCUCCUGUCAGUUCCAUGGAAUACAUUCUAUUAAAGACAUUGGUGGCAGGCACCAUUUGGAACCUAAAGGACAUUAUUCCGUCCAGGAGUCAGGCAGAAAUCAUAAAUGCCAUACUGAAGAUCUUGUCUGACGUUCUGGACCUGGACGCUGGUGAGACAGUAAUUCGAAUGCACGAGGCGGAAAAGCAGAGGUUAGAAGCUGCUGCAGAGACGGAGGACGUGCAGGAGAGCGCCAGCCGCGAUGAUCUGACGGAAGACGAUGAAAUGGAAGAGAUCCCGCACAAAAGAAAAGUCAGAAGGAAAACCUUCAUUUCAGAUUUGCUUCCACCCACUGACCAGGAACUGAGAGAGACCGUAGCAUUGUUGACGGCUCAGCAGACUGCUUUGGAAAUCAUCGUCAACAUGUGCUGUAGCGAAGAUCCCUCCGAUGAUGAGUGGGAAGAGCUUUCUAGCAGUGAUGAGAGCGAUGCAUUUAUGGAGAAUUCCUUCAGUGAGUGCGGUGGGCAGCUGCUGUCUCCCCUCUGCCUCUCCCAUGAGGUUCACACCGCUUUCACCAACUACCUCAUCCCUAAGAAGAUUUUUGAGAAAACUGCCUUUCCAAACAGUACUGCGGUUGACGUAUGUUCUAGGAGUCCCACUUGGAAAUCUUUGGUUAGAAAAAUGAACACCAUUCAGUGCAGAGCCCUCGUGUGUCUCCAGAGUCUUGUAUCCCUCCUGGAUGUGGACCAUCUCGGGGGACCUGCAGCCCUGCAGACACUUGCACAACACCUGUCCCAGCUGCUUUUUUCUCAGCCAGAUUUUGCUGAGCAUGUUGACUUUCUAGAAGCCAUAAGUAGUGCCUUGAGGGCCCUUUUGCAAACAAUGGCCUCCAAGAACAUUUCUCAGUGUAUGACUCCCGAUCAGCUGAUGACACUGUGCACAGCCGGCAUUCAUAGUAGUAAUACUGGGGUUAGAGUAAACGUUGUUAGUAUUCUAGGAAUCACGGGCAGCGUCCUCGCCAAAGAAGAUGGAACACUGGAAACUCUUAAGACCAUUGGGUGCUUUCUGCUUGAGGUUGCCACCAAAGAUCCCUCCCUCGUGGUGGCAGGAGAAGCCUUGGAUGCCCUCUUUGAUGUUUUUGCAGAUGGUAAAGAAGCUGAAAGGGCCUCAGUUCAGAUUAAAUUGUUAUCUGCUCUGAAAGAAUUCCAGCCAGUCUUCAAAAUGAAGAUACGGAAAGAAGGGAGAGGUAAAUACAGCCCAGAUCAGCUGUGCGUUCUCGACAAUGUGAAGAUGAAUUUGAGAAGGUUUGUCGCUUAUCAGGAAACUGUUGAGAAAAGACUGACUGCUUGAACCAUUGAAAGAGAGACCAGUUCUCGCCCAAGUGUUCAAUGCUGAAGAGUACUAAAGUAUUUCCUUGGAGUGGUCUCACAAGGUUGCAGUAAAGACGGUGGCCGUGGUUGCAGUCAACUGAAGUCUUGACCGGGGCUGGAAGAUUUCUUCCAAGGUGGCUUGCUCACAUGGCUGUUGGCAGGAGGCCUCCGUUCCUGACUCACUUCAUUCGUGAUCACAUUUAUUGAAGCUCCUGUGUGCUGGGCAUCCUGCUAGCUAUUGAGGACACCAAGGUAAGCAAAUAUGGUCCUUGUCUUAUAGAGCUUAGGGGCUAGUAGGAGACAGAAUCUAUGUAAAAUUACAAGUGACAAGUGUUACAAAGAGGGUACACGAAGCUAUGAGGCCACACUGGAGACCAGAAAAGACUUCUUGGAGAAGUGACAGAAGCAGUUAACUAGGGGAAGAAGCAGGGAGUAUUGUUUCCAGGAAGAGGGAGCUGCAUAUGCAAAGAUCCUGGGGCCAGAGAGAGUGAGAAAAGGAUGAGGGGCCAGUAGACGCUCCCGUGUAGUGGGUGUUCAUUGCAAGGUGUGACCAGUGAAGCAGGUGGGGGCCAGACUUACAGGGUUUUUUAAGAUGUUACAUCUUUAUCCUACAAGCGAUGGGAAAAUGAAGUCCCUCGAGUAUUUUUUUUUUUAAAUUUUAUUUAUUUAUUCGACAGAGAUAGAGACAGCCGGCGAGAGAGGGAACACAAGCAGGGGGAGUGGGAGAGGAAGAAGCAGGCUCAUAGCAGAGGAGCCUGAUGUGGGGCUCGAUCCCAGAACGCUGGGAUCACGCCCUGAGCCAAAGGCAGACGCUUAACCGCUGUGCCACCCAGGUGCACCCCCCCUCAAGUAUUUUUUAACAGAGAGGGAUAGCGAGGAGGGAUGAUAUGAUCAGACAAAAAUUUUGGAAACCUCUACUCUGGCUGCGAUGUGAAGAAAAGAUUAGAGGUGAGCCAGAGGAGAAGCAGGUGGACCAGCCAGGAGGUUACUGGGGUGGCUUGGGAGAUAGAUGGUGUUGGUUCUGAUCAGUGUGGUGUUGAUGAAGUAGAAAGAUACAACAGCAGGUGGUAAUGGAUUAGAUACAAGGGGGAAAACAGUGAGAUGGAGGGAAGCGUCAAGGGUGAGUCAGGUUUCUGGCUUACAUAACUUGUUGGAUGGUGUUACCAUUUACCAAAAUCGGAAACUCCAGAAGAGGAGCAGGCCUGGGGAAAACUGAUGAGUUUUUGAUUUGUUAAAUAUCAGAUAAGAUGUUUUUGAGUGCAAACAACAGAAAAUGUAGAUCCACUGUCUGAAAUUGUAAUGAGCUUACUAUCUCACAUAAAAUCCGGCGAGAGGGCUGGUUGAUUUAGCAGCUCAUUGGCAUCCUCAGAUAUCCAGUCUCUUCCCACAUUUUUGCUCUGCCUUCUUCAGCACACGGGUUAGCUCCCUUUUAUGGUUAGAAGACGUCUAGAGACAGUAGGGUCCAGAGCCAGAAAGGGGACUUUCUCCGCCUUGUCUCUUUCUAUCUCUCUCUUUUUUAAAAGAUUUAUUAUUUAUUUGAGAGAGAGAGAGAGAGAGAGAGAGCAUGAGUGGGGGGAGGGGCAGAGAGAGAGGGAGAAGCAGAUUCCCUGCUGAGCAGGGAGCCCCUCAUAUGGCUCGAUCCUAGAACCCUGGGAUCAUGACCUGAGCCAAAGGCAGAUGCUUAACUGACUGAGCCACCCAGGCGCCCUCCUUUUCUGUCUCUUUAGGGGCUGAACACCCAGAAGCAGAUCUCUCUGUAUCAGUCAGCGUGCUUAAUGUUAUAGCUAUAACAAACAGUCUUGAUUACCAAGUGGCUUAACAUAAUAAAAAUUUAUUUCCCACUCACAUCACAGUUCCAUGCAAGUUGGGUAGCUCUCUCUUGAAGAUCUAGGAUCCUUCUUUUACAUGCUUCCAUGAUAUUGGAGUCCAGUCCUUUUAGCCUUAUGGGUGAAUAGAAGAGAGUGACGCAAGGAUCUCACUUGAAAUUUUAGGGCCAAGCUCCAAAGUGGCCACUCUUAUUUCUGCCCACAUUCCAUUAGCCAAAACCAGUUCCCCACCGUGCCCUAACAGCAUAAGAGGCUGAGAAAUGUAGUCUUAGUCUGUGCCCCAAAACGGGAGCCGGAUUGGUCAACAUGCAGCCAGUCUGCUGUAUCCUCACAUUAUCAGCGGCCAGAAUUGGGCCAAAUACCUUACUUCUACCACUGAUAACGGGAAUGGAAUUACUGUGAUUGGCUUGUAUUAAUCAUAUCUGUGUGAGUCCAGAUUUUCCUCCUAUACUUCAAUCAUAACAACAUAUUGCAACAGAUUGAAUGCAGAAACAGUGAUGCUGGAGCCAUCUUUCAGCCCCAGAAGGGAGUUAACCACCCCCUUCAUUGGAUUUUUUUAUGAGAUAAAAAAGUCAUUAUGGUUUAAACCAGUUGAUUCACAUUUUCUGUUACUUGCACAGAAUGGAUGCGGAAACCGUAUGACCCUAUUAAUACAUGCAGAAAAAGCAUUUGACAAAAAUCUAACACUCUUAGCAAACUAGGAAUAGAAGGAGAUUUUUUCAACCUUUUAAAGAACGUCUACAAAAAACCUACAGCCAGCAUCGUACUUAACAGUGAAAGGCUGAAUUAUUUUUGCCUGAGAUCAGAAGCAUGGCAAGUAUUUUCACUCUGACUACUUUUAUCCAAUAUCAUAUUGGAAAUCCUAACCAGUGUAAUAAAGCAAAAAAAAGAAAAAAAAAAGUAAGACUAAAGGACGGAGUACCAGCAAGGAAGAAAUGAGACUGCCUUUGUUUGCAGUUGACACAUAUGUAGAAAGUCCUUCAAAGCAUACAAAAGGCUACUAGGAUUAGUAAAUUUAGCAAGAUCACAGGAUUCAGGAUCAAUAUACCAAAGUGAAUUAUAUUUCUAUAUAUUAGCAAGGAAGAAUCCAAAUAGAAAUUCAGAUAACCAUCGUAUUUAUGUUAGCAUUCAAAAAUGUAUAUAGGAAUCAGUUUAUGGGAGAUAGACAGUAUAGGGGUGCCUGGUGGCUUAGAUGGUUAAGUGGCUGGCUCUUGAUUUCUUGAUUUCAGCUCCGGUCAUGACCUCAGGGUCCUGGGAUUGGGCCCUCUCCCCCCGCCUCCGCUGCCUGGUCUUGGACUCCGUGCUCAACAGGGAGUCAGCUUCAAGGAUUCUUUCUCCCCCUCUGCCCCUCUCCCCAACUCUCUAAAAUAAAUAAAUACAUCUUAAAAAAAAAA